rnacentral:rRNA from 1 species
UACAGAGGGGGCAAGCGUUGUUCGGAAUUACUGGGCGUAAAGGGCGCGUAGGCGGCCUGCUAAGUCGAACGUGAAAUCCCCGGGCUCAACCCGGGAACUGCGUCCGAUACUGGCAGGCUUGAAUCCGGGAGAGGGAUGCGGAAUUCCAGGUGUAGCGGUGAAAUGCGUAGAUAUCUGGAGGAACACCGGUGGCGAAGGCGGUCUGCUGGGCAGUUUCUGACACUGAGGCGCGACAGCGUGGGGAGCAAACAGGG